AUUCUUCUUACGAUAUCUCAUUCCAUACGUCUCUCCUGCUAUAAAUAAAUGAUUUCAAUUCUCUGAAGUUCAUCACUUUUUUUUCUUCUAAAUCAUUCUUGAGAUUUCUAUUUUUUUCCGGUUGUUAGCAAUUGAAGAUUAUUGAAAGUUCUUGGUUCCACGGCUGUUUGACAUCCGCUUCUCUGUGCUUUCUCUGAUUAGACUGACUCUGGGUCUGUGAAUUAGAUUGUUCUCUCCUCAGUUAGGCAGUUGCAUCUUCGUGCUUAUGAUCUUAAAAAUGUCGAUUGAGACUAUCGAUCCUUUCUUUAUCAAAGCGUCGGUCUGUUCUUACGCCGAAUUUGGUCUUUUUUCAUCACGGUUGCUCUUCGUUGAGCUUUCUCCGGUGAUGGUGGUGAUGUCGCGACUCGGCGCAUAUCUCUUCUUCGUUACGCGACUUAUACGUGGGACAGCUCUCGAGAUUGAUCAUUAUCUUCUUUUGGAGUUUCUUUUGUUUGGGCCUCUAUGGGAUACUUUGUAACUUUUAGAUUUUGUCCUAUAUGAGCUUUUGUAUGUACUGUUUUGGUUUAAUAAUAAAAAAAUAUAUAUAUAUAUAGAAAGAAAAAGAGUAAAUAGCUUUACAAGUUCGAUCAUAUAUUUUAGUUAACUUUAUUGAAUAUAGUUAUUUAAUACUAACGUUUAAAUCAAAACCUGAUUCAAAAAAAUACUAAAAACCAAAAAUAACCGUUCCAGAUUACUUUGAGUAAUAAAUCUUAAUUACAGUUAUAUUAUCAAAAAAUACUAAUUCUUCAAGUUAUGGCGAUAAAUACAAAGCCGGAAAGUUUUAUAGCUUGCUUUCUUUUAUUACUAAUCAUUAUUCCUUUUAAGUUCUGUAUUAAUUAUGGAAAACAAAUUAAUUAAUAUGUUUUCAUAUAGCCUAUACACUAAUUCUCUCUGUAAAUGUUUAGAAAAUCUUCAUGACAAAAAUAAAAACUUAAUUUUGUUGUGGUCUGUUAACUUUAAGUAAAGCAUUAAAACCCUAAAAAUAAGAGAAAACAACAAAAGCAUGUGACUUGGGUUUCAAUUCAAA
rnacentral:lncRNA from 1 species